rnacentral:rRNA from 1 species
CCGGAGAGGGAGCCUGAGAAACGGCUACCACAUCUACGGAAGGCAGCAGGCGCGAAAAUUGCCCAAUCCUGAUUCAGGGAGGCAGUGACAAGAAAUAACAACUCUCGACUUUGUUGAGAAGUGUAAUGAGGAUAAUUUACAAACCUUACCGAAAGCAAUUGGAGGGCAAGUCUGGUGCCAGCAGCCGCGGUAAUUCCAGCUCCAAAAGCGUAUAUUAAAGUUGUUGCAGUUAAAAAGCUCGUAGUUGAAAUUCUGGCUGUAUUGGGCCUCUGCACUCGAUGCGAAGGAACCAGCAGUCAUCCGCUUGCAAAUACAUGUCCUUCCUUCACCGGUAGGCUGUAUAAGUAAGCACUUUACCUUGAGAAAAACAGAGUGUUCCAGGCAGGUUUGUCCGGAAUGC